CAGCUAAUGAAAAUUUAAGAAGCAACGAACCAUGGCUAAUAGGUUUGAAGAAAUGAGAAGGGACAUUGAUCGAACUUGAAUAUUGUAUAUUCAGUAAGCAACUAUAUGCAGCAGUAUUUUAAUCAACAACAACAAACAAAAAUUUCCCACUAACAUGCAUCUGCUGCAUUGAUCUAUGUUACUCUCUUUCAGGUGCCCUGACAUUAGGCUAAAACACUUUGAAACUGCAUAACUAUCACGAAGGAAGGUUAUAAAUUUGAAACAAUGUUUACCACAAAGGUUAUACUUUGAACCUUACACUUUGAAGGGUUUCAUUAGGUAUAAUAAAAAGGAUAAAAACUUAUGUAAUUAUUUAGAAAAAGUACAAUGGUUGUAUCAGUAUUUCAUCCAAAACGGAAGGUUUCGACUAAGAAACUGCAUAACUAUCACGAAGGAAGGUUAUAAAUUUGAAACAAUGUGGCGAAAGCAAAACAUCAACAUUUCCUCUUUGCAAAUGAAUUAAAACUACAGAAGCUUAUAUAUACCACUAUAUUGUUGAAUUAUCUCUACCAUUAUUGUUUAUCAUCAGGACUCUGAUCCUCCCUUCUACUGGUCAAUUCCAUCCCUUCUGCAACAUCUGUUGUUCCAAUAGGGUCGGAAGCGUGUAAAUUAUUGUACUAAAAAAUCACACAAAGUUCAAUUCCCAGGGAAGAGAGGUGGAUCACAUGGAUCUCUUAAAUACCAAGUCUUUCCUUAGACAAAAUAUCCCUUCUAUAGUAAUUUAAUAGCACAAUUAAAUACUACUAUUAUACCCUCAAAUAUUGAAAGAAAAAUAGGACAAGAAAGAACACAAGAGAUUUAACGAGGUUCGAUAAAUUAUACCUACGUCAUCGGGCACUAACACCAGAUGAUAACUUUACUAUCUCCAAAGUAUUACAAACAAAUAGAAUUCCUUAAGAAUUCUCAAAUGGGAGAAGAGAGAAAACUAAGAGAGAAAGAUUGGUUGGGAUGAAUUGAAAUGAGAAAUGAGAAGGCCUAUUUAUAGUUGAGGUUCAAGGACUAAACAAUAAAUAGCCCAUUAUCUCAAGGACCAAAAAAAAAAUUAUCCCUUGCCACUUUUCCAAAGUUGGUGGUUGUCAUUAUUGAUUGUCUCCCAUUAAUGUUAAUGGCAACCAUUAUUAAUUGUCUUCCAUUAAUGUUAACAAUCUCCACCUUGAAGAUUUGAUUAGGAUAAUCACAUCUUCACACACUUCCUUCAACUCCCCAAAUUCGAUAAAGCUAUCUUUUGUAGUGCCUACAAAUGCGCUCUCGAGCGCCAUACACCUGAAGGUGCUCAAAUUCUCAGGAUGUUAAUCAAGUUCAAACAAUGAUUAAACUUGAUUGUUGUUACCACCUUGGUCAUCAUAUCUGCGAGAUUAUCUGCUGUCGGAAUCUUCUGAAGUAGAAUUUUUCCUUUUUCAAAGACUUCCCGCACAAAGUGAUAUCUUACGUCGAUAUGCUUGGUUCUUGAAUGAUAGACUUGAUUUUUCGCUAAAUGAAUAGCGCUCUGACUGUCACAAUAUAAACUUAUGUGACUUUGAACAACUCCUAAGUCUUUCAACAAUCCAUUAAGCCAAAUAGCCUCCUUAACAGCUUCUGUAACUGCCAUAUAUUCUGCCUCUGUAGUAGACACAGCUACUGUAGACUGUAAGGUAGACUUCCAACUCACUGGGGCUUUCGCAAGAGUAAACAGAUACCCCGUAGUUGAACGACGUUUAUCUAAAUCACCAGCAAAGUCGAAAUCAACAUAUCCAACUACAAACUGACCAAGUGCUUCAUCCUGUUCAAAAAUUAAACCAACAUCUACGGUUUUUCGAAGAUACCGUAGAAUCCAUUUCACAGCUUGCCAAUGUCCUUUUCCAGGAUCAUGCAUAUACCUGCUCACAACUCCAACAACUUGUGAAAUGUCAGGCCGCGUACACACCAUCGCAUACAUCAAACUCCCAACUGCAUUAGCAUAUGGGACUUUUGCCAUAUAUUCUCUUUCUUCUUCAGUUUUCGGAGAUAAUUGAGCACUAAGUUUCAAAUGAGAAGCAAGUGGGGUACUUACAUGUUUUGUGUUUUCAUUUACACCAAAACAUUGUAAUACCUUUUUCAGAUAUUACUUCUGAUUCAAACAAAGCUUGCCUCUCUGUCUAUCUCUACUUAUCUUCAUGCCGAGAAUCUUCUUGGCCUCACCUAGAUCUUUCAUCUCGAACUCUUGAUUCAACUGAGCCUUCAGCUUAUCUAUCUCAUUUUGGCUCUUCGAAGCGAUUAACAUAUCAUCAACAUACAAGAGUAGAUAAAUGAAAGAUCCGUCAUGCAGCUUCUGCAAAUAUACACAAUUGUCAUAUUUACUUCUUGUGUACUUCUGCCUUCUCAUAAAGCUAUCAAAUCGCUUGUACCACUGCCUCGGGGAUUGCUUCAAUCCAUAUAGCGAUUUGUUAAGCUUACAAACCCAAUUUCUACCAUCAACAUCUGUGUAUCCUUCUGGCUGAGUCAUAUAGAUCUCCUCUUCUAACUCACCAUGCAAGAAAUUCGUCUUAACAUCAAGUUGAGCUAGCUCCAAAUUCAACUGUGCUACCAAGGCCAACAAAAUUCUAAUGGAGGAAUGCUUCACAACAGGGGAAAAUACAUCAUUGUAGUCAAUUCCCUCCUUCUGAGCGUAGCCUUUAGCUACCAAUCUUGCCUUGUAGCGAAUAUCUUUCUUGCUAGGAGAUCCAUCUUUCUUUGCGAAUACCCACUUGCAUCCGAUUGCCCUUUUACCUUUCGGUAAUUGCGCCAACUCCCAAGUAUUGUUCUUCCGGAGAGACUGCAUUUCUUCAUCCAUGGCGCUUUUCCAUUUAUCACUUUCUAAGCUUUGCAUUGCUUCUUGAUAAGUGAUAGGAAUAUCAUCAACAACGGGAAGGGCGUAGGCCACCAUAUCAGUAAAUCGAGCAGGUUUACGAAUUUCUCUCCGUGGCCUUGCAACUGCAACUGGUUCUGGUGUACUUAGUGGUUUUUGGGUCAGAACCUCUUCAACCUCUAAUUCCUCCAUUGUGGCUGGAGAAUUAGACUUAUUAACUGGGCAAAUCCCCAUCUGCUCAAACUCCACCUGUUUUGGAAUACGCUCCACCUGCUGUGGAGUAUUGCUCGUCUGAAUAUCUUUAUCUGCUACCUUUUUCAAUGUGGCAGAUUCAUCAAAGGUAACAUCUCUGCUACAGAUCAUUUUCUUUGUGCUUAAGCACCAAAGACGAAAUCCCUUCACUCUAGAAGUGAUUCCCAUAAAGAGAGCUUUCUUUGCUCUCGGAUUUAACUUUGACUCCUUCACAUGGUAAUAUGCAGUGGUUCCAAACACAUGUAAGGAAUCAUAAUCUGUAGCCGGUUUUUCAGACCAUACCUCCAUAGGAGUUUUUCUUUCUAAUGCAGAUGAUGGCAAACGAUUAACAAGAUGGCCAGCGUAUGUCACAGCCUCAGCCCAAAAUUUCUUGCCCAACCCAGCAUUGGACAACAUACAUCGAACUUUCUCCAGUAAUGUUCGAUUCAUACGCUCUGCCACUCCAUUCUGCUGUGGUGUAUCCCUAACUGUGAAGUGUCGAACAAUACCAUACUCUUGGCACACAUCGAAGAACGGAUCACUUUUAUAUUCCCCUCCAUUGUCCGUCCUAAGCCGCUUGAUUUUCUUGCCAGUCUGGUUUUCGAUCAUAGUUUUCCAUUUAAGAAAAACUCUAAGCACUUCAUCCUUAGUUCUCAUGGUAUACACCCAAACUCUUCUGGAAAAGUCAUCAACAAAAGUAACAAAGUAGUGUUUUCCUCCCAAUGAAGGUGUCUUGGAAGGCCCCCACACAUCUGAGUGAACAUAUUCCAAAAUACCUUUUGUAUUAUGGAUAGCAGUACCGAAUUUCACUCUCUUUUGCUUUCCCAGAACACAAUGCUCGCAAAAUUUUAAUUUGUAAGCCUUUGCACCUUUCAACAAUCCUUGCUUUGCCAGAAUUUGCAAGGAUUUUUCGCUGGCAUGUCCCAACUUCAUAUGCCACAACUGUAUUGAGUCCAAUUCUUUAUUGCCGGAAGCUGCAGCGACUGCUCCAAUAACUGUACUACCUUGGUAGUAAUACAAGUUAUUUUUCCUGAUGCCCUUCAAUAUCACAAGUGCGCCAGAUGUCACUUUCAAAACCUCAUCUCUCAUAGUAACAACUGAACCAUUGGAUUCCAAGGCUCCCAAUGAGAUGAGAUUUUUCUUCAAACUGGGCACAUACCGAACAUCAGUCAGAACUCUGGUUGAUCCAUCUUUAUUCUUUAAUUGGAUUGAACCUAUCCCAACAGUUUUACAGGCAUUGUCAUUGCCCAUAUAAACAACUCCUCCAUUUAGUUCUACUAAAUCAGAGAACCACUCCCGGUUAGGGGACAUAUGAUAGGUACAACCCGAAUCCAAUAUCCACUCAUCUGAAUAGAACGACGAUGAUGAUGCAACCAGUGAUAGUUCAGAGUCACUAGUAUCAUGCUUUGCAACACAAGCAUCUACAGCAGCUUUUCCCUUAUUCUUCAGCUUUGGACAAUUUUUCUUCCAGUGGCCUUUCUCAUGACAAAAAGCACAUUCAUCUUUCCCGAGUCUGGACUUUGACUUUGAUCUCCCCUUUUGAGUUUUCUUCCGAGUGUAUGAACGACCUCGGACUACUAAAGCUUUUGUAUCUCUGAUUGAGUUUUUCUGUUUGUCCUUCUUUCUCUGUUCAUAACUGUAUAAGGCCGCACAGACUUCGCUCAGAGAUAUAUCACUCCUGCCAUGAAGUAGAGUAGUUUCUAGGAACUCAAACUCCUCAGAAAGUGACCCCAACAGCAUCAAAGCCAAAUCUUCAUCUUUGAAUGUCUCAUCCAUAUUCAACAAAUCAGUGACUAACUGAUUAAAUUUGGUGAUGUGAUCAUUCAUUGUGGUACUUGGGACGUAUGUGAAGCGAAACAGUCUUUUCUUCAAGUGGAGCUUAUUUUGACUGUUUUUCUUCAAAAAAUUUUCUUCAAGUGCCACCCACAACUUAUUUGGAGAAGUCUCAUUUGAAAAAGCAUACCUCUACUCUCGAGAAAGGCAUGAUCGAAUUGUGCCACAUGCCAACCGAUUGAUCGCCUUCCAAUCUUUCUCCUGUACAUCAUCUGGUUUCUCUUCAUCAAUGGCAAUGUCCAGACCCUGCUGAAAAAGGGCAUCUAGAACCUCACUUUGCCACAUACCAAAAUGGCCCGUGCCAUCAAAGAUCUCCACGGCCAAUCUUGCAUUUGCAAUUGUCGGUCUUGUCCACAUGGACGAUGUUGAAGCUCCUACACCGACCGUUUUCUCCAUAAUCUUUCAAUAUACCUAAGGAAAUCUUUUCUGAUGUGGAAGAUCAGUUUAAACUGUAACCACAGAGCAUACUACGAUUAACCUUCGGCUCUUGAUACCACUUGUUGUUCCAAUAGGGUCGGAAGCGUGUAAAUUAUUGUACUAAAAAAUUACACAAAGUUCAAUUUCCAGGGAAGAGAGGUGGAUCACAUGGAUCUCUUAAAUACCAAGUCUUUCCUUAGACAGAAUAUCCCUUCUAUAGUAAUUUAAUAGCACAAUUAAAUACUACUAUUAUACCCUCAAAUAUUGAAAGAAAAAUAGGACAAGAAAGAACACAAGAGAUUUAACGAGGUUCGGUAAAUUAUACCUACGUCCUCGGGCACUAACACCAGAUGAUAACUUUACUAUCUCCAAAGUAUUACAAACAAAUAGAAUUCCUUAAGAAUUCUCAAAUGGGAGAAGAGAGAAAACUAAGAGAGAAAGAUUGGUUGGGAUGAAUUGAAAUGAGAAAUGAGAAGGCCUAUUUAUAGUUGAGGGUCAAGGACCAAACAAUAAAUAGCCCAUUAUCUCAAGGGGCAAAAAAAAAUUAUCCCUUGCCACUUUUCCAAAGUUGGUGGUUGUCAUUAUUGAUUGUCUCCCAUUAAUGUUAAUGGCAACCAUUAUUAAUUGUCUUCCAUUAAUGUUAACAACAUCUUCUUUCACUGAGCCUACAUUCUCCUGACUUUUACUCUCAUUUUCUUUACUAGAGGAGCCAUCCAUGAAGGAAUUUAAGGCAAGCUGACCUGAAUAAAGGAAUAAGCCUAGAGAAUUGAUGCCGAAAACAAAUGUGGCAAGG
rnacentral:lncRNA from 1 species